GACGAACGCUGGCGGCGUGCCUAAUACAUGCAAGUCGAACGGAGUGGCGAACGGGGGAGUAACACGUGGGUGACCUGCCCUGCACUUCGGGAUAAGCCUGGGAAACUGGGUCUAAUACCGGAUAGUGUGGGAUGGGCCCGCGGCCUAUCAGCUUGUUGGUGGGGUAUUGGCCUACCAAGGGGGCGACGGGUAGCCGGCCUGAGAGGUGGGACGGACACAUUGGGACUGCGUAACGGCCCCGACGUCUACGGGAGGCAGCAGAGGGGAAUAGUGCGCGAUGGGCGGAGCCGUGGUGCAGCGCCUCCUCGAGGGGGAGGCAGGCCUAUUGGCUUUAACCUCCUUUCACCAGCGAUGCGGUAGCUGGAGAAGAAGCACCGGCUAACUACGUGCCAGCAGCCGCGGUAAUAC
rnacentral:rRNA from 1 species